GACGAACGCUGGCGGCGUGCCUAAUACAUGCAAGUCGAGCGAAGUUUUUCUGGUGCUUGCACUAGAAAAACUUAGCGGCGAACGGGUGAGUAACACGUAAAGAACCUGCCUCAUAGACUGGGACAACUAUUGGAAACGAUAGCUAAUACCGGAUAACAGUAUUUCUCGCAUGAGAGAUAUUUAAAAGUUGGUUAUGCUAACACUAUGAGAUGGCUUUGCGGUGCAUUAGCUAGUUGGUGGGGUAAAGGCCCACCAAGGCGACGAUGCAUAGCCGACCUGAGAGGGUGAUCGGCCACACUGGGACUGAGACACGGCCCAGACUCCUACGGGAGGCAGCAGUAGGGAAUCUUCCGCAAUGGGCGAAAGCCUGACGGAGCAACGCCGCGUGAGUGAAGAAGGAUUUCGGUUCGUAAAGCUCUGUUGUUAGGGAAGAAUGGAUAUGUAGUAACUAUACAUGUAAGAGACGGUACCUAACCAGAAAGCCACGGCUAACUACGG
rnacentral:rRNA from 1 species